rnacentral:rRNA from 1 species
GAUGAACGCUGGCGGCGUGCUUAACACAUGCAAGUCGAACGGAGCACCCCUGAAGGAGUUUUCGGACAACGGAAGGGAAUGCUUAGUGGCGGACUGGUGAGUAACGCGUGAGGAACCUGCCUUUCGGAGGGGGACAACAGUUGGAAACGACUGCUAAUACCGCAUGAUGUAUCGGGAUCGCAUGGUCUUGAUACCAAAGAUUUUAUCGCCGAAAGAUGGCCUCGCGUCUGAUUAGCUAGUUGGUGGGGUAACGGCCUACCAAGGCGACGAUCAGUAGCCGGACUGAGAGGUUGGCCGGCCACAUUGGGACUGAGAUACGGCCCAG